AACACAGUGCAGGUCGUAGCGGAAACGAGUUACUGACCCUUCGGGGAACGUUAACGGCGUCGAGCGGCGGACGGGUGAGUAAUGCCUAGGAAAUUGCCCUGAUGUGGGGGAUAACCAUUGGAAACGAUGGCUAAUACCGCAUGAUGCCUUCGGGCCAAAGAGGGGGACCUUCGGGCCUCUCGCGUCAGGAUAUGCCUAGGUGGGAUUAGCUAGUUGGUGAGGUAAGGGCUCACCAAGGCGACGAUCCCUAGCUGGUCUGAGAGGAUGAUCAACCACACUGGAACUGAGACACGGUCCAGACUCCUACGGGAGGCAGCAGUGGGGGAAUAUUGCACAAUGGGCGCAAGCCUGAUGCAGCCAUGCCGCGUGUAUGAAGAAGGCCUUCGGGGUUGUAAAAUACUUUCAGC
rnacentral:rRNA from 1 species